CGCCCGGCAACCACGGCGGCGGCGGCGGUGGUGGCGGCGGCGGCGGUGGCGGCGGCGGUGGCGGCGGCGGCGGUGGCG
rnacentral:miRNA from 1 species